AACGAACGCUGGCGGCAGGCCUAACACAUGCAAGUCGAGCGCACCUUCGGGUGAGCGGCGGACGGGUUAGUAACGCGUGGGAACGUGCCCAGAUCUGCGGAAUAGCCACUGGAAACGGUGAGUAAUACCGCAUACGCCCUUUGGGGGAAAGAUUUAUCGGAUUUGGAUCGGCCCGCGUUAGAUUAGGUAGUUGGUGAGGUAACGGCUCACCAAGCCUACGAUCUAUAGCUGGUUUUAGAGGAUGAUCAGCAACACUGGGACUGAGACACGGCCCAGACUCCUACGGGAGGCAGCAGUGGGGAAUCUUGGACAAUGGGCGCAAGCCUGAUCCAGCCAUGCCGCGUGAGUGAUGAAAGGCCUUAGGGGUCGUAAAGCUCUUUCGCCAGGGAUGAUAAUGACAGUACCUGGUAAAGAAACCCCGGCUAACUCCGUGACAGCCGCCGCU
rnacentral:rRNA from 1 species